AAUCAGUGACAUUUUGUUUACCGGCCCAAUGCUUUAACCGCUAUGUAACUGGUUUUAGGGUCCUCCAGGCUUACCAGGGUCAGAGGGCAGGACAGGGAAGCCAGGCCCCCCAGGAAGCCAGGGGCCUCUGGGGCCUCAGGUGCCAGCUGGGCCCACAGGGUUUCCAGGCACUCCUGGGAUGGAUGGCGUAACGGGGCAGGUUGGAGAAAAUGGAGUGCAGGUGAGUUCAAUGCCAGCCCUAGCUCUUUUCUUUUUCUAUUUUCCAAUGAUAGAUUGAAAGCAAUAAAGCAUGAAUCAUGACAGUCGGUAAUGCAUUGAGUGAUGUACUGUACUUUUGUGUCUGUUUAGGGAGCAGCAGGGCCUGUUGGGGACAGUGGGCCAUCUGGACUGGAUGGACAGCAGGUGUGUGUCUGUUCUUAGACAGUCAUAUAUCCAUCCACCUCCAUUAGGACUGAUGUUAUGUUUUUUGCUAUUUUUUGUUUCCAUGGUGUAAAGUGUGGUAUAUAAUACAAUACCUUUGCAAUAGUGCUAUCAUGGCUGACAUUGAUGACCCUGUACUGUAUUCUCCUGCCUCCCAGGGUCCCCCAGGAACAGUUGGUGAGGAGGGGCCAUCUGGCAGGAAGGGGGAACCGGGAGCUCCAGGUCCCUUUGGAAAGCCAGGGCCGAAUGGGCUACAGGGAGAGCCAGGGCCACAGGGCUCCCAGGGGCUGCAGGGUGAGCCUGGGCCAAGGGGCAAAGAGGUCAGUUGUAUUACCCUUUCUACCAAGCUCAUCUACAGACACAGGCUGCCAUUAUUAUCAGCUUAGGAUGUGGUUUCAUGGUUUUCUGUGAUUGUCUGUUGCAGGGAGAGAUGGGAGGUUUCGGCAACAGAGGAUAUCCUGGUCCUAAAGGGCAAAAGGUAAUGGAAUGAACAGAAUAAAGAAUUCCUACUUAAUAUAUGCUUUAUGUGUGGUUCUAUAUGUAUGAUACAAUGCCUGUUAAGAUUUUCAGAAGUCUUUGAAAAAUGUAUUCUUGCUCCUCUGCCAUACAAAUCCCAAUCUGAUACUUUCCAUAUUGUUGUUUUUCCUCUCCAGGGGGACAUAGGACCUCGUGGAUUCUCUUGGUCGGAGGGGCCCUCAGGAGCUCUUGGGGACAAUGGGAAAAGAGGAGUGACGGGAGAGAAGGGCUACGUAGGACUACGAGUAAGUGACUGAUAAGGUGUAUUCUAUACUAAUGUUUGAUGGUUUAAUAGAGGUGAUGUGUGUGUGAUAUGUAGAUUUGGCGCUUCAGCUGUGUUCUGUUUAUGUUCAUCAGGGCCAGGUGGGGUUGAUGGGGGAAGCUGGACCAUCGGGCUUGUCUGGACUGGAGGUAGGUUUGAAGUAGACUGGAGUGUAUUGAUAGUUAGAACAUCUGUUAUUACUCAGUAAUGGCAAUGUCUCUAAUGGCUUUGUAGAAUACUCUGCUUAACAACCUGUUAUUGUUCCAGGGUGUUCCAGGACCUUUUGGAUUGGCUGGGGCUGAUGGACCACAAGGGCAGAAGGUACAGUAUGAUGUUGAAAUUCUCUAUUCACGAUCGGGACAAUGAUGCCAUAUAGCUUUACAGUAACAUGGAGUUAUAAUUUCUCUAGGGGGACAAAGGCCCUUAUGGUAUGGCUGGGAAACCUGGAAACUCAGGCCUUAAGGUAUGUAUUGCCAGCAAAAUUGUAGUUCAUUUUCAUGUAUGAAUUAUAGAGAGUAAUGUAACUGUAGGCUUGAUUGGUUUUAUUGAGCUGUUGUCUUCUAAUGACAGGGGGUGUCAGGCAUCAGAGGAGUGAAUGGUGACAUGGGGAAACAUGGACCAAAGGUACUUAGUAUAUCCAAAUCAUCUGCAAAUUUAUAUUGAUAAGAUUGCAAUUCAAACCAUAUGCACAGCAUCAUUGAUUGCACUUGCAUGGUCAAUUUCUGUCAUAAUUCAAUUUUGUUGGUUUAUUGUAGGGAGUGGGGGGAGGCAUGGGGAGACAGGGAGAGAUUGGUCCAAAGGGUUUCCCCGGACUUAAGGGGCCCAAAGACGAGCCUGGAGAUAAAGGAGAACCAGGAGAGCAGGUGAGGCUGAUUGAUAUUUUCUUUCUAGAGAACAUCUAAAUUGUUCAUUAAGAUGACUGUCUGAAUGUCUUUGUCGGGUCCAGGGGCCAGAGGGUCUUCCAGGCGACAGGGGGCACCAAGCGUCUCCUGGAUUGGAGGUAGGAACACAGACAUGUGAACUGUGGUGUUGAUAUGUCUUUGGCAACAUGACGUAAGUUGGUAAACAUUUUGGUUGAUGUUUUUUUCUACUCAUCCCUACUCUUAGGGUUUGCCUGGUGAGGUGGGGCCUCAGGGAACUGUUGGCCCACCAGGACCUUUGGUAAGUGCUACAAUAACGUGUUAGACCUUAUAUACAAAUGAAACACACAUGUUCCAAUAUCUUCACCAGAAAUAAAUGUCUACUGAUGACGUUUUAGGAUAAGUCAACAUUACCUUUUUGCUCUUCAGGGACCAAAAGGUCGAACAGGCCCUGAGGGGAGACUUGGCCAGAAAGGUCAAAAGGUCAGGUUAAGCUUCACCUUUCACCUGUCUUUACAUCUACAUAUAUAGUAUUUAACACUCUGUCCCAUUCUGACAUCCUACCUGUAUCAAAGGCCAUAUCAUAAUGUCCACUUAGUGUAGUAUGUGAUUGUAGGUCUUUCUUUUUGUCAGGGGUAUGAUGGUCGAAAUGGGUAUCCAGGAAAGACCGGACACAUUGGAAGGAGGGUGAGAAUUACACCAUUGCUUAUUCAGUCUCUCUUUUUCAUAUGUUAAAAAUGUAUCGUUCCAACUAAUAUGGAUCUUGAUUCUUCAUUUGAUUCUAAAAGCUGUUCUUGUUUCCAUGUAAGGGGAAUAGAGGAAAAACUGGAAGCAAAGGCUUAGGUGGAGAGAGAGGAGAAAAGGUCAGUAAUCACUAUUGACCGUGAGAAACUCUGGCCUGAUUUUGCAUUCGCCAUAACAUACAGUAUAAUGUUUCUUCACCUUGAUAAUAUUUUUCAGUGGUGAGAGUUUGUGUAAGGUCAAUGGGGCAUCAGAUUUUAAUCAGGAUUUGACCUUUCUAUGGCCUACAGGGAAAGAGGGGAGAUUUUGGUUCAACCGGGCCUCCAGGACGACAAGGGCCUUACGUAAGUUAUUUGAUCUGUUUUGGAAAGGCACUUUUCAAUGCCAGGAGGAUUAGCUCUAUAACUCAAUCACUGGGUCCCCAAAACUCAGGAAAUAACUUCCCUUGUUUCUCUCAAAGGGGACACCUGGCUUACAAGGAGAGAAGGGUCUAAUGGGUGGACCAGGUAUAGAGGUAAGACCUUGACUGAAGCCUCAACAGGAUUACGAUAUGAUUGAAGAAGUACAGCACUUUGAGCUCAUUUUAUGUGACACUAAUAUAUUUCCCCUAAACUUACAGGGAGAGAAGGGGAAGAUGGGACUAACAGGUCCUCCUGGAGGUCAGGGGUUGAAGGUACUUUUGAUCUCAUUUAUCCCAAGAAGCGUAUUACACUCGAGUCAGAUGUACUACAAUUUUUUAUGUAGAUUCACUAUGGAAGCAUUUUGCCUCCAUCAUUCCUUUGUUCAUAUCCCUAUACAUUUCCUGUAUGUAAUAAUGGACCCAGUUCCAUGAUGUAUUGAGUCAGUCGAGUGUUUGUUUCAGGGGACACAAGGUCCUUUGGGACAGACAGGGAGGGCUGGCCUAAAAGGAGAACAGGUAAGAUGCACCUUCUAGUAUCUGUCCGUCUAGUGUGUUCCGACUCAGUGUUCUGUUAAGUAUUCAUCAUUAAUCGUGGCAUUGCUAUUGAGUUGUAUUGACAGUGAUUUAUGUGUUCUGUCUUUGUAGGGAGACAUUGGUCCUCAUGGGGAAUGGGGGACCCCAGGUCUACCUGGAAUGCCUGUAAGUUGUCCUUUUUCAGAAAUAUGGUACUGUAUUUCCCUUGUAUUUCUGAAAAUAUACUAAACGUACUUAUACAGAGAAAAAGUAAAUGCUAAUGUGAUGAAUUUUCUCUUUUUAUAGGGUUUGUUUGGAGAAAAGGUAUGUGUAUAACAGUUCUCUAAAUACAAAUACACACAUUUGUUCUGUUUUUUAUGCAUACCUUUGUGUCUUGUCAAUUAAUUAUUUGGAGAUUGGGGGAUUGACUGAGGGCACUGACUAAAUGUGCCUAAUUGUCAGGGUCUAAAAGGAUUUGCUGGAACAGCAGGUCCUGUUGGAGUGAGAGGCCUGCCUGUGAGUAUGACCCUACUCACAUCACAAAACAUUACAGUACCAGCCACUUUACAUCUGUUUAAUGAAAUCAAAAUAAUUCCUGACCCAAUCUGGCAACCCAGGGCAAUGAGAUUAACUUUCAUAUUGUGUUUGUUUUUCCUUGUUUAUGUCAGGGCCUCCCUGGACCUCCUGGCCCCCCUGGAACCUCUCUGAAUCUCACUCUGGCACAACUCAAGGUAAGUCGUUGGUAAUCUAUCCAAGCACAUCCAAAUACUUCCAUUUUGAAACUAAAGCCAUUUCAGCAGAUUUAGCCAUUACUAUUUAUAUUACAACACCUCCUUGUUUCACC
rnacentral:lncRNA from 1 species